UACGUAGGGGGCAAGCGUUGUCCGGAUUUAUUGGGCGUAAAGAGCGUGUAGGCGGCUAGAUAGGUCCGUUGUGAAAACUCGAGGCUCAACCUCGAGACGCCGGUGGAAACCAUCUAGCUAGAGUCCGGAAGAGGAGAGUGGAAUUCCUGGUGUAGCGGUGAAAUGCGCAGAUAUCAGGAAGAACACCCGUGGCGAAGGCGGCUCUCUGGGACGUGACUGACGCUGAGACGCGAAAGCGUGGGGAGCAAACAGG
rnacentral:rRNA from 1 species